rnacentral:rRNA from 1 species
GCUGACAUAAGUAACGAUAAAGCGGGUGAAAAGCCCGCUCGCCGGAAGACCAAGGGUUCCUGUCCAACGUUAAUCGGGGCAGGGUGAGUCGACCCCUAAGGCGAGGCCGAAAGGCGUAGUCGAUGGGAAACGGGUUAAUAUUCCCGUACUUGGUGUUACUGCGAAGGGGGGACGGAGAAGGCUAUGUUGGCCGGGCGACGGUUGUCCCGGUUUAAGCGUGUAGGUGUGUGUUCCAGGUAAAUCCGGUUCACUUUAACACUGAGGCGUGACGACGAGGCACUACGGUGCUGAAGCAACAAAUGCCCUGCUUCCAGGAAAAGCCUCUAAGCAUCAGGUAACAUCAAAUCGUACCCCAAACCGACACAGGUGGUCAGGUAGAGAAUACCAAGGCGCUUGAGAGAACUCGGGUGAAGGAACUAGGCAAAAUGGUGCCGUAACUUCGGGAGAAGGCACGCUGACACGUAGGUGAAGUGAUUUACUCAUGGAGCUGAAGUCAGUCGAAGAUACCAGCUGGCUGCAACUGUUUAUUAAAAACACAGCACUGUGCAAACACGAAAGUGGACGUAUACGGUGUGACGCCUGCCCGGUGCCGGAAGGUUAAUUGAUGGGGUCAGCGCAAGCGAAGCUCCUGAUCGAAGCCCCGGUAAACGGCGGCCGUAACUAUAACGGUCCUAAGGUAGCGAAAUUCCUUGUCGGGUAAGUUCCGACCUGCACGAAUGGCGUAAUGAUGGCCAGGCUGUCUCCACCCGAGACUCAGUGAAAUUGAACUCGCUGUGAAGAUGCAGUGUACCCGCGGCAAGACGGAAAGACCCCGUGAACCUUUACUAUAGCUUGACACUGAACAUUGAGCCUUGAUGUGUAGGAUAGGUGGGAGGCUUUGAAGUGUGGACGCCAGUCUGCAUGGAGCCGACCUUGAAAUACCACCCUUUAAUGUUUGAUGUUCUAACGUGGACCCGUUACCCGGGUUGCGGACAGUGUCUGGUGGGUAGUUUGACUGGGGCGGUCUCCUCCUAAAGAGUAACGGAGGAGCACGAAGGUUGGCUAAUCCUGGUCGGACAUCAGGAGGUUAGUGCAAUGGCAUAAGCCAGCUUGACUGCGAGCGUGACGGCGCGAGCAGGUGCGAAAGCAGGUCAUAGUGAUCCGGUGGUUCUGAAUGGAAGGGCCAUCGCUCAACGGAUAAAAGGUACUCCGGGGAUAACAGGCUGAUACCGCCCAAGAGUUCAUAUCGACGGCGGUGUUUGGCACCUCGAUGUCGGCUCAUCACAUCCUGGGGCUGAAGUAGGUCCCAAGGGUAUGGCUGUUCGCCAUUUAAAGUGGUACGCGAGCUGGGUUUAGAACGUCGUGAGACAGUUCGGUCCCUAUCUGCCGUGGGCGCUGGAGAACUGAGGGGGGCUGCUCCUAGUACGAGAGGACCGGAGUGGACGCAUCACUGGUGUUCGGGUUGUCAUGCCAAUGGCACUGCCCGGUAGCUAAAUGCGGAAGAGAUAAGUGCUGAAAGCAUCUAAGCACGAAACUUGCCCCGA